GACGAACGCUGGCGGCGUGCUUAACACAUGCAAGUCGAACGGAAAGGCCCUGCUUUUGUGGGGUGCUCGAGUGGCGAACGGGUGAGUAACACGUGAGUAACCUGCCCUUGACUUUGGGAUAACUUCAGGAAACUGGGGCUAAUAACGGAUAGGAGCUCCUGCUGCAUGGUGGGGGUUGGAAAGUUUCGGCGGUUGGGGAUGGACUCGCGGCUUAUCAGCUUGUUGGUGGGGUAGUGGCUUACCAAGGCUUUGACGAGUAGCCGGCCUGAGAGGGUGACCGGCCACAUUGGGACUGAGACACGGCCCAGACUCCUACGGGAGGCAGCAGUGGGGAAUAUUGCACAAUGGGCGGAAGCCUGAUGCAGCAACGCCGCGUGCGGGAUGACGGCCUUCGGGUUGUAAACCGCUUUCGCCUGUGACGAAGCGUGAGUGACGGUAAUGGGUAAAGAAGCACCGCCUAACUACGU
rnacentral:rRNA from 1 species